UAUAUAUAUAUAUGUAUUUUAAUUGGGGUAUCCCCCAAAAUAUUGGGAAAUAUAAAAAAAAGACAACUCUGUUCCGCAGAUUAGCUGUUGACAUAAUAGUUGCGCAGGCAACCUCGGGACAAUUGCACAUCCCCGUGACAGCGACUUUGCAUUCGGAUGUCAUCCAUAUCAACUUUCGAUGCCAGUUUCUGCACCUACUAUGGUGACCAAGGGUAACGGGGAAUCAGAGUUCCAUUCCGUACAGGGACCCUGAGAAACGGCUACCAUAUGCAAGGAAGGCAGCAAGCACACAAAUGACCCACUCCUGACGCGGGAAGGUAGUGA